rnacentral:lncRNA from 1 species
UGGAAAAUGGUUUAAUGUUUUACAACAGAAAUUGGAACUGUACAGUUACAGUAAGUUUAAUAUAUAUAUAAAAAUUACAGCAGACAAAUGCAUCUACACAAACCCACCAUUUCAUUCUGAUUCACUGGCACCCACACAAUCUCUCCCAAAGCCCGUGGCCCCUCUGGCAAUCCCAGAAGGGGGAAUGACAUAAAGGGCACUUUUAAAGAGACAGCACCACUCACAGCCCCCACCACUUCCCCAGGCCUCUGGAGAUCAGCUAAUCCCCAACAAGUACAACUGCUUGUGUUUCAGGUUUCCCAGGGGCACAGAUAACAAGGGCCAGUGCCCCGAGUUACCAGCUGAUUUUUAUAAAAUAUUUCCGGAGGAGAAAUGGCUACAGACACUCUGGGGCAGUGAGGCUACACAAUAGCCACCCACUGCAGUCACCUUAAGGAGAAAUGUAAGAGGACAUCCAAUCAACUACUCAGAAAUUGUCACUGCCUCAUUACUGCUGCUGGACAAUUCUGGAAAGAAUCAUGUACAUCAUAUUCUAAGUUUCCACAAAGAACUCAAAGUCACAUUUUAAAGUACACAAAAUAAUAUAUUUUGGGAGUUCAAGGUGCCAAUUCCCCUUGUGUUCCUCCCUUGACAACAGUGGAAAAACACCCCUGAAUCAAUAUUAAUUAAAAAAAAGGGGGGGGGAAGUGGGGAAGUUAAGAUAUUUAAAGACAGAAAUAAACAUCUUUAGAAAAACACAAUCACUGUCUCUUUAAAACCAGACCCCAGCUGGGCGUUAUCAGUGACUCCACACUCAAGUGGACAUUGUGGAGAUUACUGAAUAAUAUGUACACUCAGAACCUUUCAUUUUUAUUACGAACACCUAGGCAGUGAAAACUGUUAUGUUAAUACAUACAGACACACCCCAAAACAUACAAAAAUACUAUUAUUUCAAACUACCAAGAAUAGGACAGCGCAAGUAUUUCAUGCUAUGACUUUAAGAGCAUUACACUGAAACAAACAAGAAGGUAAACGACAUUUUUUUUUCUUUUAAUAUCCUGGAAAUAUACCAAAAUAUACAUCUAAGCUUUGGAAUUAUUGAGGUUAGACUAAUGCAAGUGCUGGGUAAUCGUACUUAGUACACAAGUCUAAGGUUCUGCAGGAAAGAAAUUGUCUUUGGUAUCUGCAUCAGGCUAAUAUUAUUAACAUUUGGAUUUUGCUUUGGGAUAGAGCUUGUAUGACCCUAGAACCAAAUACCCUCCCUCCCCC